UACGUAGGGGGCAAGCGUUGUCCGGACUUAUUGGGCGUAAAGAGCUCGUAGGUGGUUCGGUAAGUCGGAUGCGAAAUCUCCAGGCUCAACCUGGAGGGGUCAUUCGAUACUGCCGUGACUAGAGUUCGGUAGGGGAGUGUGGAAUUCCUGGUGGAGCGGUGAAAUGCGCAGAUAUCAGGAGGAACACCCGUAGCGAAGGCGGCACUCUGGGCCGAUACUGACACUGAGGAGCGAAAGCGUGGGGAGCGAACAGG
rnacentral:rRNA from 1 species